UGCUCAGGACGAACGCUGGCGGCGUGCUUAACACAUGCAAGUCGAACGGAAAGGCCCAGCUUGCUGGGUACUCGAGUGGCGAACGGGUGAGUAACACGUGGGUGAUCUGCCUUGCACUUCGGGAUAAGCCUGGGAAACUGGGUCUAAUACCGGAUAUGACCUUCCUUUAGUGUGGAAGGUGGAAAGAUUUAUCGGUGCGAGAUGAGCCCGCGGCCUAUCAGCUUGUUGGUGGGGUAAUGGCCUACCAAGGCGUCGACGGGUAGCCGGCCUGAGAGGGUGGACGGCCACAUUGGGACUGAGAUACGGCCCAGACUCCUACGGGAGGCAGCAGUGGGGAAUAUUGCACAAUGGGCGCAAGCCUGAUGCAGCGACGCCGCGUGGGGGAUGACGGCCUUCGGGUUGUAAACCUCUUUCGACAGGGACGAAGUGAAAAUGACGGUACCUGUAUAAGAAGCACCGGCUAACUACGUGCCAGCAGCCGCGGUAAUACGUAGGGUGCGAGCGUUGUCCGGAAUUACUGGGCGUAAAGAGCUCGUAGGUGGUUUGUCGCGUCGUCUGUGAAAUUCCGGAGCUUAACUCCGGGCGUGCAGGCGAUACGGGCAAUACUUGAGUGCUGUAGGGGAGACUGGAAUUCCUGGUGUAGCGGUGAAAUGCGCAGAUAUCAGGAGGAACACCAAUGGCGAAGGCAGGUCUCUGGGCAGUAACUGACGCUGA
rnacentral:rRNA from 1 species